UACGAAGGGGGCUAGCGUUGCUCGGAAUCACUGGGCGUAAAGGGUGCGUAGGCGGGUUUUUAAGUCAGGGGUGAAAUCCUGGAGCUCAACUCCAGAACUGCCUUUGAUACUGAAGAUCUUGAGUCCGGGAGAGGUGAGUGGAACUGCGAGUGUAGAGGUGAAAUUCGUAGAUAUUCGCAAGAACACCAGUGGCGAAGGCGGCUCACUGGCCCGGUACUGACGCUGAGGCACGAAAGCGUGGGGAG
rnacentral:rRNA from 1 species